rnacentral:misc_RNA from 1 species
GAGAUUUUGGGCAAAAAUAAGGAUGCUCUUGUUCAAAAAGUGCGUGUUACUGAACCAAGGCUUUAUCCGACAAGAAUUGCUAGGGAUGGCUCUGUUAUGGAAUGGGUAAAAGAUUUUGAAGACCCAGAAGUGCACCAUCGACAUCUUUCACAUCUAUUUGGCCUGUUUUGGCCUGUUUCCAGGGCAUACAAUAACCAUUGAGAAAAAUCCAGACCUAUGUAAAGCUGCAGAGAACACCCUCUAUAAACGAGGAGAGGAUGGUCCAGGUUGGUCAACUGCAUGGAAAACUGCUUUAUGGGCACAUCUGCACAACAGUGAACAUGCUUAUAGGAUGGUUAAGCAUUUGAUUAAGUUGGUGGAUCCAGAUCAUGAGGUAGCUUUUGAAGGUGGAUUAUACAGCAACUUAUUUGCAGCACACCCGCCUUUUCAGAUUGAUGCCAACUUUGGUGUUACAGCAGCAGUUGCAGAAAUGCUGAUGCAGAGUACCAUGAAGGAUUUGUACUUGCUUCCUGCACUUCCUUGGGAUAAAUGGGCAAAUGGAUGUGUGAAAGGACUAAAGGCACGCGGUGGGUUGACAGUGAGCAUAUGCUGGAAAGAAGGAGAUCUCCAUGAAGUUGGUGUUUGGACCAAGGUUGAAAGUUGCAUCCAAAGAUUGCAUUACAGAGGAAGAACAGUGAAAACAAGCAUAUCACCUGGAAUAAUUUAUACAUUUAAUGCACAGUUAAAAUGUGUGAAGGCAAGCUCUCUCUCAUAACUGGCCUUUCAAUUUUGUUGAUCUCUCAAUUGUUAGUUUCUUGAGCAAGUAUCCAAUAAAUCUUCUUGUAUAACAAGAAUUCAUACUUUUGUACGGGUGUGUUUAAUUUA